rnacentral:misc_RNA from 1 species
UUUUUUUUUUUUUUCUUUUUUAUUGAUGAGGUUUCUAUGAAAUUUACAUGCCAAAUCAAAUUUGCAGUAGGCAACUUAAACAACUUUUUCUUCUUCGUGAUUUUUAGUAAAUGCAUCACACUGAAUAUUUAUUUUAUAAAUAAGAUUUGAAGCCAAAAAAGAUUGUCUAUACUCACCUAUCCCAUUUACCACAUGAUUUUAAUACACUAAUUAGGAAUAACAUUCACUUCACACUAGCUCUGAUUUUAAUUAUUUGAAGUUCAACACCCUCCCUCUCCUCCACAAAAAAAGAAAAACAAACACAAUAGCAUAUGGUUCACCGAAAAAAAUCUCAAACCAAGUUUUCUCAUUUUUUAUUCCAUUUCUUCUCAAAUGUUCUGCUCAAUUCAAGGAUUGGAGCUUUAUUCCCUUCAAUAACGCUAAACAGUAUUCAGUCAUUGUUUAAAUGGAUACUCGUUCAAAAUCAGACGCAAAAUCCAUGAAAACAUAUUUAUAUACACAGGUGUAAUUUUACAAAUAAACACAAACCAGAUGAGAACAAAAGGCAAAGGAAGAACACACCUGAACUGCUGAACAAAAAAGAAAAAAAGCAGCUUGUUCUGAGAUGCAGGGGCAGAAAACAAAACAGUUUUCAGAAUUUAAGUUUAAGCCACUGACAAGUUUUGGAGUUUCGACCAGAAAACAAUCCAGGCCCUUGUUCACUUAUAAACAUAAACUGUAUUUUAUAACUUAAAAUUUUUAAAAAAAAAAUAAGUGGAUGUUUCUUAAAGGCAAGAAGGCCCCUGGCCCAAGCAAAAGAAAACCCCAAAGUUCAGAAGCAUGGCUGCCAAGAAAGUUUCUGCCACCUGGUUCCUCCGCCUAAUAUAUCAUUCUAGAAAAUGAAACUCUCACACAACAAAAGAACUCAGAACAAAAUGAGAACACAAGAGAUUAUCUACAACCCCGUUCAGAGGUAGAGGAAACAAGAAAGGAAGGGCGACCCCUGCCCAAGGAGGCAGGGCAGCCGCUACAUGAUAGAAGGAAAGAGGACUUGUGCCUUUGAA